GUGUCAGCAGCCGCGGUAAUACAGAGGGUGCAAGCGUUGUUCGGAAUUACUGGGCGUAAAGCGCGUGUAGGCGGCGAUGUAAGUCGGGUGUGAAAUCCCUUGGCUCAACCAAGGAAGUGCACUCGAUACUGCGUCGCUUGAGUGUCGGAGGGGAUGGCGGAAUUCCCGGUGUAGAGGUGAAAUUCGUAGAUAUCGGGAGGAACACCUGUGGCGAAGGCGGCCAUCUGGACGACGACUGACGCUGAGACGCGAAAGCGUGGGUAGCAAACAGGAUUAGAUACCCUGGUAGUCCACGCUGUAAACGAUGAGUGCUAGACGUCAUGGGUAUUGACCCCUGUGGUGUCGAAGUUAACACGUUAAGCACUCCGCCUGGGGAGUACGGUCGCAAGAUUAAA
rnacentral:rRNA from 1 species